rnacentral:rRNA from 1 species
UACGUAGGGCGCAAGCGUUGUCCGGAAUUAUUGGGCGUAAAGCGCUCGUAGGUGGUCUGUCGCGUCGGCUGUGAAAACUCGGGGCUCAACCCCGAGCCUGCAGUCGAUACGGGCAGACUUGAGUGCGGUAGGGGAGACUGGAAUUCCUGGUGUAGCGGUGAAAUGCGCAGAUAUCAGGAGGAACACCGGCGGCGAAGGCGGGUCUCUGGGCCGUAACUGACACUGAGGAGCGAAAGCGUGGGGAGCGAACAGG